rnacentral:rRNA from 1 species
AUUGAACGCUGGCGGCAUGCUUUACACAUGCAAGUCGAACGGUAACAGGGAGCUUGCUCCGCUGACGAGUGGCGAAUGGGUGAGUAAUGCAUCGGAACGUACCGUGUAAUGGGGGAUAACGUAGCGAAAGUUACGCUAAUACCGCAUACGCCCUGAGGGGGAAAGUGGGGGACCGCAAGGCCUCACGUUAUACGAGCGGCCGAUGUCGGAUUAGCUAGUUGGUGGGGUAAAGGCCUACCAAGGCGACGAUCUGUAGCGGGUCUGAGAGGAUGAUCCGCCACACUGGAACUGAGACACGGUCCAGACUCCUACGGGAGGCAGCAGUGGGGAAUUUUGGACAAUGGGGGCAACCCUGAUCCAGCCAUGCCGCGUGAGUGAAGAAGGCCUUCGGUUGUAAAGCUCUUUGUUCAGGGAGAAACAGCAGCUCUAACACAGUCUGCGAAUGACGGUACCUGAAGAAUAAGACACCGGCUAACUACGUGCCAGCA